CAAAGAACUUUGAAGAGAGAGUUCAAGAGGGCGUGAAACCGCUGAGAAGGAAGCGGAUAGAGUUAACGAAACUUGAUGGCAUUCAUCCGACUAAUGCUGCUGUUGGCUGUUUAGUUGUACUACCUUUAAUCGGGUGGCAGCUUUAUGGCUGAACUGGCCGCGUUCGGUUGGUGCUUUUGCCAUUGGUAUGUGCCGAGAGGUUCGCCAUGGUGCGCUAAUACUAUGCGAAGAGGACCAUGCUCUUCAUGGGCGUGGAAACCUUUGUUUGUUGAGGCGUAUCCGGUGGUGAAUCCAUUAUCGCUAUAAUUACAAUGCAUGCGAGUAGGCGCAACGGUUGUCGCGUGGCUGAUAUGAUUGCUUGAGCGGUCGCGUGCGACUUGCUUACAGUCGAUGUUGGCUCGUUUGAUGAUGCGGUUGCGUUUAGCAUUGUAUCUCGGUGUGAAAGUUGACCACCUAUCCGACCCGUCUUGAAACACGGACCAAGGAGUUUAGCAUAUGCGCAAGUCAUUUGGUGGUAAACCUCAAAGGCGUAAUGAAAGUAAAGAUCGCUUUGAUGCGGUUGAUAUGGGAUCUGCGUGGUUGCGACCAUGCAGCGCACCAUAGCCCCGUCUUUGUUGCUUGCAACGGGGCGGAGGUAGAGCGCAUACGCUGAGACCCGAAAGAUGGUGAACUAUGCCUGAGCAGGAUGAAGCCAGAGGAAACUCUGGUGGAAGUCCGAAGCGGUUCUGACGUGC
rnacentral:rRNA from 1 species